AAAGGUAUGUGCAUGUAUCUAUAUUCUCCAGUGUCAAUGUCAUUUAUUUUUCCUUACUGAGUAAAAGAAUGACCCCCUGCAGCUUUCCACACAUCGGUUUCCUGAGACCAAACUUCUCAGAAUAUGAGCAUGAAGCCCUUUCCAGGUCUGCGUUUUCAAUCAGUCUGCUCGUUGUCUGAGAGUACACCUGAUGUCAAAAGAGAGAUUUUUCCAGCAAUACUUGAAGAUACUUUCUUCAUCAAAAUGUUGAACCACUCGUUGGAGAAGACCACAAAAAACUCUUCAGAAUAAUCACAGUCACCAUUCUCUGUCGUUCAUGGAUGGAGGGAAGUGGGAUGCAUGAAGAGAUGGUAGGG
rnacentral:lncRNA from 1 species